AACGAACGCUGGCGGCAUGCCUAACACAUGCAAGUCGAACGAGACCUUCGGGUCUAGUGGCGCACGGGUGCGUAACGCGUGGGAAUCUGCCCUUGGGUUCGGAAUAACAGUGAGAAAUUACUGCUAAUACCGGAUGAUGUCUUCGGACCAAAGGUUUAUUGCCCAGGGAUGAGCCCGCGUAGGAUUAGCUAGUUGGUGGGGUAAUGGCCUACCAAGGCGACGAUCCUUAGCUGGUCUGAGAGGAUGAUCAGCCACACUGGGACUGAGACACGGCCCAGACUCCUACGGGAGGCAGCAGUGGGGAAUAUUGGACAAUGGGCGGAAGCCUGAUCCAGCAAUGCCGCGUGAGUGAUGAAGGCCUUAGGGUUGUAAAGCUCUUUUACCAGGGAUGAUAAUGACAGUACCUGGAGAAUAAGCUCCGGCUAACUCCGUGCCAGCCGCCGCGGUAA
rnacentral:rRNA from 1 species